rnacentral:rRNA from 1 species
GAUGAACGCUGGCGGCGUGCCUAAUACAUGCAAGUCGAGCGAACAGACGAGGAGCUUGCUCCUCUGACGUUAGCGGCGGACGGGUGAGUAACACGUGGAUAACCUACCUAUAAGACUGGGAUAACUUCGGGAAACCGGAGCUAAUACCGGAUAAUAUAUUGAACCGCAUGGUUCAAUAGUGAAAGACGGUUUUGCUGUCUCUUAUAGAUGGAUCCGCGCCGCAUUAGCUAGUUGGUAAGGUAACGGCUUACCAAGGCAACGAUGCGUAGCCGACCUGAGAGGGUGGUCGGCGACACGGGAGCUGAGACAGGGUCCAGACUCCUGCGGGAGGCAGCAGUAGGGAAUCUUACGCAAUGGGCGAGAGCUUGACGGAGCAACGCCGCGUGAGUGAUGAAGGUCUUCGGAUCGUAAAGCUCUGUUAUUAGGGAAGAACAAAUGUGUAAGUAACUGUGCACGUAUUGACGGUACCGAGUAAGAAAGCAACGGCUAACUACGUG